AAGUUCUCCCUACAGAAGAAGUCUGAAGAGAGAGGACACAUCCAAGGUAAGUCCUUUGACAGCCUUCAGCUGCAAGACCAUGAGGAGAGGACUGAAAAUGUGCGUAAGGUCUCUAUUUUUUAUUAUUUGAGCUCCUAUUUGCUUAACUAGCUCUUAGGA
rnacentral:lncRNA from 14 species